AGUGAACGCUGGCGGUAGGCCUAACGCAUGCAAGUCGAACGGCAGCACAGUAAGAGCUUGCUCUUACGGGUGGCGAGUGGCGGACGGGUGAGGAAUACAUCGGACUCUACUUUUUCGUGGGGGAUAACGUAGGGAAACUUACGCUAAUACCGCAUACGACCUACGGUUGAAAGCAUUGGAUCUUCGGACCUUGCGCGAUUGAAUGAGCCGAUGUCGGAUUAGCUAGUUGGCGGGGUAAAGGCCCACCAAGGCGACGAUCCGUAGCUGGUCUGAGAGGAUGAUCAGCCACACUGGAACUGAGACACGGUCCAGACUCCUAAGGGAGGCAGCAGUGGGGAAUAUUGGACAAUGGGCGCAAGCCUGAUACAGCCAUACCGCGUGGGUGAAGAAGGCCUUCGGGUUGUAAAGCCCUUUUGUUGGGAAAGAAAAGCAGCAGGUUAAUACCCCGCUGUUCUGACGGUACCCAAAGAAUAAGCACCGGCUAACUUCGUG
rnacentral:rRNA from 1 species